AGCACCUCUUGCCCUGUCAGCACCGCAAAGUGACUGACAUAACCUUUUAAAGGUUCAAAGAACCUCCCCCGCCGCCGCCGUGGAACCGUAGCCUCAGCUCUCUCGCCGCCUUUCGCCGGAGUAUCACCCCAACGUCGUCGUCACUGGGCUUUCUUAACAACAUUUUGAUGAGGAUGAUGAAGGGAGAAGGAACCAUCAGGUAGCAGAGAUUGAAGUUAGAACAUCUUUUUUGCUGACCACAAAAGACCAUAACCAUUUUCCUCUAACCAUCUUAGGCCACUCGAGAGUUCAUACCCUUUAAAUUCAAGAUUUUACACAUUUGGACUAUCAGAACCUGAGAAUACUGGAGGCCUUCAGAGAACUCAUUGACAAU